UUUUUUUUUUUUUUUUUUCUCCAUCUCAAAUGUUUCUGCAUAUCAUCCUUAAAAAAAGAAUUACAAGGUUUAGCUACCUGCUUCAAGUUCAAGUUAUGAAGUGGUUUCACUAAACAAAUUGGCUUAUGAGUUUGUUGGUAUAUACAGAGAAAUCAGAUUGGUCUAUUAACAAUUGUGAAUUAGUAGUAUAACAGUUUCGAGUUCGUACUAAAAUUGAGAAAUUAAUGUUGUAUGCCUAGUUUCUUUUCACAAUGAUUGUUUAUUCUGUUGUUUUGUCCAACUAGGAUAUGCCAAAUGCCGUAGUUUUACUGAGAUGGUGUCUUGUAGAAGGAUAAUAUCAGGUCAUGUGGGAACCAUAGUCCUAUGAGGAAGGUGUGAUUCAUCCGUCAAUUGCCUUUGUUGUUCAUAUUUAGUUAGUAGAUUGUGUAAUCAAUUUAUGCAACGAAUGUUCAAUUUAC
rnacentral:misc_RNA from 1 species